rnacentral:rRNA from 1 species
CAGUAGCCGCGGUAAUACAGAGGAUGCAAGCGUUAUCCGGAAUUAUUGGGCGUAAAGGGCUCGCAGGCGGUUUCUUAAGUCUGAUGUGAAAGCCCCCGGCUCAACCGGGGAGGGUCAUUGGAAACUGGGAAACUUGAGUGCAGAAGAGGAGAGUGGAAUUCCACGUGUAGCGGUGAAAUGCGUAGAGAUGUGGAGGAACACCAGUGGCGAAGGCGACUUUCUGGUCUGUAGCUGACGCUGAGGAGCGAAAGCGUGGGGAGCGAACAGGAUUAGAGACCCCUGUAGUCCCUGUCUCUUAUAC